UACAGAGGGUGCGAGCGUUGUUCGGAAUUAUUGGGCGUAAAGGGCGCGUAGGCGGUGCCACAAGUCACUUGUGAAAUCCCCGGGCUUAACUCGGGGCCUGCAGGCGAAACUGUGGUGCUGGAGUAUGGGAGAGGUGCGUGGAAUUCCCGGUGUAGCGGUGAAAUGCGUAGAUAUUAGGAAGAACACCGGUGGCGAAGGCGGCCCACUGGAUCGGUACUGACGCUGAGGUGCGAAAGCGUGGGGAGCAAACAGG
rnacentral:rRNA from 1 species